rnacentral:rRNA from 1 species
GACGAACGCCUUCGGCGUGCUUAACACAUGCAAGUCGAACGGAAAGGCCCUGCUUUUGUGGGGUGCUCGAGUGGCGAACGGGCGAGUAACACGUGAGUAACCUGCCCUUGACUUUGGGAUAACUUCAGGAAACUGGGGCUAAUACCGGAUAGGAGCUCCUGCUGCAUGGUGGGGGUUGGAAAGUUUCGGCGGUUGGGGAUGGACUCGCGGCUUAUCAGCUUGUUGGUGGGGUAGUGGCUUACCAAGGCUUUGACGGGUAGCCGGCCUGAGAGGGUGACCGGCCACAUUGGGACUGAGAUACGGCCCAGACUCCUACGGGAGGCAGCAGUGGGGAAUAUUGCACAAUGGGCGGAAGCCUGAUGCAGCAACGCCGCGUGCGGGAUGACGGCCUUCGGGUUGUAAACCGCUUUCGCCUGUGACGAAGCGUGAGUGACGGUAAUGGGUAAAGAAGCACCGGCUAACUACGUGCCAGCAGCCGCGGUGAUACGUAGGGUGCGAGCGUUGUCCGGAUUUAUUGGGCGUAAAGGGCUCGUAGGUGGUUGAUCGCGUCGGAAGUGUAAUCUUGGGGCUUAACCCUGAGCGUGCUUUCGAUACGGGUUGACUUGAGGAAGGUAGGGGAGAAUGGAAUUCCUGGUGGAGCGGUGGAAUGCGCAGAUAUCAGGAGGAACACCAGUGGCGAAGGCGGUUCUUUGGGCCUUUCCUGACGCUGAGGAGCGAAAGCGUGGGGAGCGAACAGGCUUAGAUACCCUGGUAGUCCACGCUGUAAACGGUGGGUACUAGGUGUGGGGUCCAUUCCACGGGUUCCGUGCCGUAGCUAACGCUUUAAGUACCCCGCCUGGGGAGUACGGCCGCAAGGCUAAAACUCAAAGGAAUUGACGGGGCCCCGCACAAGCGGCGGAGCAUGCGGAUUAAUUCGAUGCAACGCGUAGAACCUUACCUGGGUUUGACAUGGAUCGGGAGUGCUCAGAGAUGGGUGUGCCUCUUUUGGGGUCGGUUCACAGGUGGUGCAUGCCUGUCGUCAGCUCGUGUCGUGAGAUGUUGGGUUAAGUCCCGCAACGAGCGCAACCCUUGUUCACUGUUGCCAGCACGUUAUGGUGGGGACUCAGUGGAGACCGCCGGGGUCAACUCGGAGGAAGGUGGGGAUGACGUCAAGUCAUCAUGCCCCUUAUGUCCAGGGCUUCACGCAUGCUACAAUGGCUGGUACAGAGAGUGGCGAGCCUGUGAGGGUGAGCGAAUCUCGGAAAGCCGGUCUCAGUUCGGAUUGGGGUCUGCAACUCGACCUCAUGAAGUCGGAGUCGCUAGUAAUCGCAGAUCAGCAACGCUGCGGUGAAUACGUUCCCGGGGCU